rnacentral:lncRNA from 10 species
CUUCAUGACAGGUGGUGAUGUUAUAAAAGGUAAUCUAUAUCAAGGGUUCAGUACAAAUUAGUCUCGGAGCCUGAUACAAUAUGCAAUUUAUUCUAAAGUACUGUAUCGUCAGUGUGAUAUUUUCCAAGGUAAGUCUGAAUCGUGAGUGGUCAGCACACAUGGUGGCUGCUAUCCGAUAGGGCAAUUCAACAGACACUGCUAAUUAGCAUACUAUAUAUUUAAAAAUGGACUUUUAUGGGGAAACUAGUGUCUUGUUAAUUGUCAUGAAAGGUUCUCGUGGGCAAAAUUAAAUGGAUUCAAGGCUGGCCAGAAUAGCUUUCAUGACUAGGGGGUAAGAAUCCAUGAACUCUCCUUCAGUCCCUAGCGACAGUGGCUGAGGCCUGUGUCUGUUGGUCCAGUCCACUUGCCAAUACAGGAGUAUUAUAGAAUCUUACCCCAGGAAUAUUGCUGCAUCUACCUCAAGAAAACCUUAUAUACAGGGUGUGGUCUCCUUAUAUACAAGGAGAGAGAGCUGGGACUCCAUCCAGCUUACAGAAGAGGAUGCUUCUGGGCUGGCUUCACUAUUAAAUGAAUAUGGAUCUCUUAUGUGUGAGGCAGAUUCCAAAUGCUGUCAGUCUAAUUUGGUAGAUUUAAGGGAGCAGCUCACUCACCAGCUCUGAUUGGUCACGUGACUGACCAAACGCAACCGGCUUGAUGACCUUUGAAAACGUUUCAAUUGUGUAAGGGAGAAAGGCUCUUUUAGAAAAUUCUUACAGGGGAAGUCUGUAAAAAUCGCAGUUGGUAAAUAAUGUUUAGACAAAGCUUCGUACCUACUGGGAACUCAAAAAGUAUGUAUGAAUGAGAGAGCAGCGAACUGAUGGUUUCUAUAGACAGAGGAGCCAACAUUCUACAGGCUACAUGCACUGUCUGCCAAGGACACAGUCAGAUGCUAGGUUCCCUGUGGUUAGUAAAGGCCUCCUUGAAGAGAAACAUCAUUAUCCAGGCCUGUGGAAAGCAGCCCCAGGCUGUGCACAUGCGGCCCACAUGGGUUUUCUUUCUUUUUUUUUUGUUUUGAGGAGAGUCUCACUGUGUCGCCCAGGCCAGGCAUAGGGUUUCAAUUACUGUUGAGGCUGAAAUGAGAUGAGAUGAGAGGCUCCUCCCCAGCCUCUUCCCUUCCACCUGCC